UUGCCCACUUUGGUAGCCCAGGUAAGUAUACUAAACUGGAAUGAAACAGAAAAGAUCAGUAGAACCCCUGAGCAAGGGUGACACACACAUUCACGAAGAGUUACAUUUCCAG